rnacentral:rRNA from 1 species
UACGUAGGGUGCGAGCGUUGUCCGGAAUUACUGGGCGUAAAGGGCGCGUAGGUGGUGGCUUAAGCGUGCGGCGAAAGCUCGGGGCUCAACUCCGAGUCGGCCGUGCGAACUGGGCUCACUGGAGCAUAGUAGAGGCAGGUGGAAUUCCGGGUGUAGCGGUGGAAUGCGUAGAGAUCCGGAAGAACACCGGUGGCGAAGGCGGCCUGCUGGGCUAUGGCUGACACUGAGGCGCGACAGCGUGGGGAGCAAACAGG